UACGUAGGUGGCGAGCGUUAUCCGGAAUUAUUGGGCGUAAAGAGCGCGCAGGUGGUUGAUUAAGUCUGAUGUGAAAGCCCACGGCUUAACCGUGGAGGGUCAUUGGAAACUGGUCGACUUGAGUGCAGAAGAGGGAAGUGGAAUUCCAUGUGUAGCGGUGAAAUGCGCAGAUAUCAGGAGGAACACCGAUGGCGAAGGCAGGUCUCUGGGCAGUAACUGACGCUGAGGAGCGAAAGCAUGGGUAGCGAACAGGAUUA
rnacentral:rRNA from 1 species